rnacentral:rRNA from 1 species
CGCGUAGACGGAUCGUCGCGUCGAGUGCUGAAAUCCCCCGGCUCAACUGGGGAAGUGGGCUCGAUACGGGGGGCCUCGAGGCGAGGAGGGGGACCCGGAACGUCCGGUGGAGCGGUGAAAUGCGUUGAGAUCGGACGGAACGCCGACGGCGAGAGCGGGGUCCUGGACCCAUACUGACGUUGAGGCGCGAAAGCCAGGGGAGCAAACGGGAUUAGAUACCCCGGUAGUCCUGGCCGUAAACCAUGGGCAUGGACGGCGAGCUCGCCGAUGGGCGCGCCGUCGCAGCGAAGGCGUGAAGUGCCCCGCCUGGGGAGUAUGGUCGCAAGGCUGAA